AAUAGUUACAUCAGAUUUUGUAAAACACAAUUUUUAUUUUUAGUUUAAAAAGAAUAAUUAACGUGCAUUAAUCAUAUCCCGAACAACCAAAACUAUUUUUCAAUCUAACCUAAUCAGCAUUACAGGUGACAUCCGUAAUGUUGCCGGACUAUGUAAACAACCCGUCCAGAGGAUUUUUUGGUGGACUUUACGAGAGCACUAUCGGACUGUUCACGUCGAGGUUCAAAGUUGUAGCUAUAAUCACGUGCGUCAUACAAUUCUGUGCCACAACCAGGUAACAUACAUUAAACAAUACAAUGCUUAUUGUGUAUUAUUCAAACUUAUCGGCUAUUGUGUUUUACAUAUCCAACUACAUUCAGUUACUACAUGCUGAUGCUGUGGUUUCCUGAACUAAUGAAUAGGUUUCGAUGGUUCGAAGAAAAUCUGUACGGCGGUGGUGGCAGCACAGGGAACAAGACGACCAUGUGCGAAAUUGUGUCCGUGUUUAAACAGAAACUGAAUGAAGGCACGUGUAACGAUCACAUCGAUCUUUCCGUGUACACCAACAUCGUUAUUAUCGGCGUUGCUUGUAUACCCACCAGUCUUAUCGUGCCGCUGUUCGUCAACAAACUUGGUCUCAGGUUUUUCUUAGGUUCGAAAAUUAUAAUAUUUUUAACAGUGACGACAAUCGUGAUGGCUUCUCUUUUAUAUUGUUAGUGUUGAUUUUAAAUAAUCCAUAUGUAAAUGAGUUGACUUGUGAAUAUUUAUUCGUUGGUUUACAUGCUACUUUUAGUAUAGGUAACUGCGGCUAAUGCGUUUCUAAAAUUAAUUCAUCAUUGUGUUAAGUAAAAAUAUAAUAAAAAUUAGUAUAAUAUACAUGAUAAAUGGCGAAAUAUAAUAAGAUUUAUCUACCUUCAAAAUCUAGCUAAAUUAAUUUUUAGAUUCGGAGCAUACCGAGGUAUCUAUUGGUAUGACUAUGAAAUGAUUUUGUAAUUUUUUACUUUUUCUGUCUGUGAAUAACUUUUCUUUCAAAAAUCUUGCUCCGAUGUAUUAAGUGUAUUGCCUAUUGUGAAUGCAAAUUUUAUAUAGUUGGUGUAUUGAAAGGUCAUUUUUUAAUUUUCCAAGGUGUUUUCAUAAUAAUUGGGAAAAACCGGAACACAAAUUAUCAGAAAAAUGGCAAAUAUUUACGGCGAGCCACCACGGCGCGACGUUACCGAUUUCAUUGUAUUUAGUUUUUGCAAACUAUGUGUUUUACCAGAAAUAAUAUUAAAUUUUUAAAAAAAUACCAAGUGACCAUUUUUUAAUUAUUUUGAAUCUCGAUACUUAAAUAUAAAGCCAUUUCUUAACUUUUUGAGUAGUUUUCAUAAUAAUUAUAAAAAAAUUGAAAAAAGACAAACAAAUGUAACAAUGAAAAAUGAUAAAUUUACGACAUUUUCGAUUCCUUCGUUUCAAAUUUGUACGGCUUAUGUUUUCUAACAAAAAUAUUGCUCCUAUAGAAAAACAACAAAAUAUUUUUUUUGUUGAAUUUUUAAUCUAAAUGGUGACCUAGAAAUUGGUUUUUUAAUUUUAUAUGUAGUUUAUUUAAUACUUGAGCAAACCGAAAAGAAAGUAAAAAGAACAGGAAAAUUUACGUACAUUUUAAAAAUGUAUUUUGUCUUUUUGUAGUAAUUGAAUUAAAAAUAUUCGUAGACUUGAAAUUUUGACUCAUAAAUUAUAUUUAUUUUUUUUCUAGAUGUAGUCAAAUUUAAAAAGACAUUUAAUCCAUUUUUUAGCUAAUAGUUUUAUUAUUCUUAUUCCUGCGAGUAUAAUAAAAAUAAAUAGAAUUUAACUAUUUUUAUUAUCGCAGAAGAUAUUGAAAUGAGUAUAUCUUCGCUAAUUUAUAGAUCCCGAGCAAAAAGAGGAACAUAUUUGUUUUACUAUGAUGUGUUGAUGUAGACUAAUUUUCUACCAUAAAUAUUUCUUCAAUCAAAAAUUUUAUUAUUUAUAGGAAUUUUUUGGUAGUUUUAUCUAGUUGACGAAUUCAAGAGAUUAUUUUUUAUUUUGAUUAAUAUAUUGAAAUAACUUACAAUUUUUGUUUAUUACCGAGUCUAAGGAAAAGGUCUAGGGAUUUCCAUAAUGUAUAAUGUAUAAAGAGGGAAGACAUAUAUAAAAAAUUGGAUAUAAAAAAAAAAUGAAAGGAGUAUUUUGAGAAAUUACUGAAUGAGCAAUAUCCAAAAGAGAUGUUAGAUAGUGUUUCGUGGAACAAAAGUCCUGGUAGAUUUAGUGAGAAAAUAGGAAGUCUAAUGAGCUGCGAGAGCAAUAAAAAAAAAAAGCGGUAGGUCCAGAAGGUGUAUCAGUGGAAGUGUGAAAAAUGAUAGGGAAGCUAAACUCGUUAAAAAAAUUUUCACUGGUUUGAUGUUUCGCGUGAGAUAAAUUAUAAAAAAGUACAGAAAGAAGAAGAAAAACCUAUGUAUUACUUUUAUAGAUUUAGAGGAGGCUUAUGAAUAUUGGGAUGAGCCAAAAUUAGCCUAUCCGCGGUGUUGUGAGAUGUGAGUGUUAAUGAGAAAAGGAGUUCUGAAAUUGUCUAUUAGUUUCAUAGAGGAUAUACAGGGUGCUCACCCCUAACCUAACCUAAUCUAACCAACCCCAUUUUUUUUGGUUAAAUAUUACAUGUAUUCAAACUCUGAUUUUAAGAACUUUUAAAUCUAGUUAAAGCCAAUAUUUUUGAAUACUUAGAUUUUUCACAAAAUUUAAGUAAUAUCCUGUGGCGAUAUUAACUUUUGUUUUUCAAAUGAGAAACUGUAUUAAAAAUUCAAUAAAUUACUUUAAAUACAUUUUUGUGUUAGAAUUUUUGAUUUUUGAUUGAGUUAAAAUUGUUUGAAUUUUUGAAUUUGAUUGUUAUAUAAUAUUUGAUAACUUAUUAUAUGACUAUACUAUAGAGCAAGAUAGAGACGCCGUUCCCUAUCAAGAUUAUAUAAAAGAGUUGAAGUGUAAAUCACCUCCCAGCAUUGUGUCCACUUUUAAAAACGUAACUAAUUGUACCAUAGUAAAUGCGCUCAAAGAUGACUAGGUACAUACCAUGGUAAUUAUACGUAUUACGUAUAUUUAUUAUAUAAAUACAAUAAUAAUAUUAUUGUAUCAUAAGGAUUUAUUUAAAAAUGAGUAAAUCGUCAUAAUUAGUAUUAUUAUAAUUUAUGUAUAUUUUUUUUAUAAUGUAGGACGGUAGUAGGUACUAGGGUAAAUAUUUAAUUUAUAUUUUACAAGUUUAUUUACAAGUACUUUCUUUUAAAAUUCCGAGCUGUUUCAUUUGUGGAAGAUCAAGAAAUUGCAAAAGUAAUGCUGAAAAAAUAACAUUUUACAAGUAUGUUGGUUAUUAUAAUAUAAUAUUUAAUUACUUAACUUCUCAGUAUUUAGCACUUACCUAUACAAUUUUAAAUUUAAAUUUAAGAUUAACUCGUUUGUUUUUAUUUUUAUGUAUAUUUUAGGUUUCCUAGUAAUGAAAGGAUAAGGGAUAAGGGAAAAGUGGUUUAAUUUUGUUAAUGCAAAUAAUUUACCCGCCAAUCAAAUCACUAAAUAUAGAAAUAUAGUGUUAAUUGUUCAUUCAUUUUGACAAAAAGCAUUUUAUUAACUAUAAAAAAAAAAAUGCUGUUCCUUACAUCAUGAUAGUAAGAAUAAAAUAUGUAUAUUUUUUUGUUUUAAAUAAUUAUGUAUAUUUAAUUAAAUGUUCUAAUGAUUUACGUAAUAGUUGAGCCAUUGUAGUUAGCCAUUUUGAAGUACAUUUACUAUGGUAAUAUUGGUUACGUCUUUAAAAGUGAUCACACUGCUGGGAUGCAAUUUGCGCUUUAACUAGAUUAUAUGAAGCCGUCUCUAUCUUAAGCCGGGUCCACACGGGGCAUCUUUUGCCGGGAGGCAAGGCCGCGCUCCAUGAGCGUGACGUCACAAAAUUCGUUUCACGCGGCUUUUUUCAAUGCCACACGGCAUAAUUUCGGAUCGGCCUGGGAAGCGGUCUAAAUCAAAGAAAAGUCGGGCGUGCUGUGUCGCGCGACAAAAGAUGUCCCGUGUGAACAUGUCGUUCGGCAUAAAUGCCAAUUUUAAGUAACCAUUGAAUGUAUCCAUUUUAAAAUAUAUUUUAAUUUAAAAAUUAUACAUUUUGACACAGUAUUUAAAUAUUUGUAUUUUAAAAUGAUUUAAUUUAGUCUAAUAAUAAUAUUAUUGUGUUAUUAUUAAUAUAAAACUCGUACCUAUGAUAGAAAUGGGUUUAAAAAUAUAAAUAUAUGAAUAGUUCUUAAAUAUUAAAUUAUACACUGUUCAGUCACUAGUCGUUUUCUCGUUUAUCCUAACAGAAACAAGUUCUUUAAUUAGUUCAUUUAUUUUUUGUUAAUUUUAUUAAAAUGGCAGACGAAUUGUGGUCAAACGAACGCAGUACAGAAUUGAUUGAUUCAUAUAGAGAAUU
rnacentral:lncRNA from 1 species